rnacentral:misc_RNA from 1 species
UACGGAGGGUGCAAGCGUUGUCCGGAAUCACUAGGUGUAAAGGGUGUGUAGGCGGGACUGUAGGUCAGGGGUGAAAGCCUACGGCUCAACCGUAGAAUGGCCUUUGAUACUGCAGUUCUUGAGUCCUGGAGAGGUCGCUGGAAUUCGUGGUGUAGCGGUGAAAUGCGUAGAUAUCACGAGGAACACCAGAGGUGUAGACGGGUGACUGGACAGGUACUGACGCUGAGGCACGAAAGCGUGGGGAGCAAACAGG